rnacentral:piRNA from 1 species
UGAGAUGCUAAAAAACCGUGAGUCAACU